rnacentral:tRNA from 1 species
ACAUCAAUAGGCUCAGUGGUAGAGCGCCCGCUUUGCAGCAAAAUCUCGAAUGCGGGAGGUCUAGGGUUCGAUCCCCUAUUCGUCCA